CCACGUCGAACAGCGGGUACAAUCAGUCGAUCCCAGCCAUCUAUCUCACCAUUUCCACUUCCGGAAUGGGUUGAAUCUGCAGGGAAAAGGUGUCUCACCUAAAUGGUGAAAGUUUUUGAGAGUUUUGAAUUUCGAAUAGGUCCCCUCUUACCCAAAAAUUUCCCCCCGAAUCAGCCCUAAAAAUCCCUAUAUGUAUUCCCUUUUAUUCACUGAUC
rnacentral:lncRNA from 1 species